rnacentral:lncRNA from 1 species
UCUAAUCUAUUAUUUAUUACUAUAGGCUGCGUUUGGUUCGGAUAUAAGUAAGAACUGCUAGUUCUAGGGAUAAAUACAAGUUCAGGUAAAAGCAGGAACUAAACCAAUUUUGUGUUUAGAUGAAAAUUGGGUUGUUUAUAGUAAUAAGGUAAAUAGUGUUUGGAUGGUUAGUUUGGAACAAGAGGAAUAAGAGUUAUAAUUUGAAAUUAAAAUUAUAUUAUGUAAUUAAUUAACAUCAAAAUAUUAUUUAAAAAUAAAUAAUAAAUUAAUUAUUAAUAAUUAAUUAUAAAUAAUAAUAAUUAUUAGUAAUUAAUUAUAAAUAAUAAAUUAAUAAUAUCGAUUAUCUAAUUAAUAAUAAUAACAAUAAUAAUAAUAAUUAAUUAUUAAUAAAUAAUAAUAAUUAUUAGUUAUUCCUAUUAAUUAAUUAUAAAUAAUAAAUUAAUAAUAAUAUUGAUUAUCUAAUUAUUAAUAAUAAUUAAUAUUAAUAUUUAU